AAUAAAGUGAAACGUAGGCAACGAGCCCGACAACGACUUACUGCAAAGACAAACUGGAAACAGACACAUCGUCAUGUACAAGAAGAACGUAUGGUAUGUAUGUAUAAAUGAGUAUAUCUUUUGGCGAGGGCUCCGAGCAAGUACACAUUGAACACGGUCGCCGAUAAGCGGGCGCUGUUGUUGCUGUUGCCGUGGCAGUGGCAGCGGCAGUUGCUGUCGCUGUUUGCGAAGACAUUUUUACCAAAUUGUAGGAAAGUUGAGAUAAAAGCCUCACAGAGCACUCGAGGAACUUCCGGCGACGAAUGCCCAGCGGAGGUCCCCACGGUGCUCAUUGUAAACGCACUCAGCACUUACCUUAUUGAAUGUUCUGGACUACAAAACUAAAACGUAAAAUUCUUAUCUACAAGCACUAACUAAAUGGAGUCGAAUCUUCUAAUUAGCAUAACAAACAAGAUCCCAAAUCUUGUGCAACAAGCAAAUGCAAGACACAUCGCCACUGGCGAGCUCUACUCCAUGGUAGGAAAGUUGUAUUGAAAGAAUAUCGGUGACCCUCGCACCAAGCUGGAAAAUACUGAAGAGCAGUAGCAUGAUGUGUGUGAUUCGUGCGGUCUAUGUGGAUCAGCCCAGGGAUGUCCCCUGCGGUGGAGCUCGGAGCUUUUUUAUAGUUCUCAUGAACCACCUGGGCAUGAGAUCACAGACUUUGGCAGCGGUGCCAUAAACGCACUGAGAGCAACAACUAACUAUUAUGUACCAGAUUUGGAUGAACACGCGCCCAUUGAUUCAGAGAAUAGGCUGCCAGCAAUGUGCAUAAAGAUUGGGUUCUACAUCCCCUGUACAUCGAUGUCUAUUAGCUGCCAAGUUGCCAGAGCAAGAUCUACAGGAGUACCAUGGUUUCGCAGAGCAAGUCUGCCGAUGUACUGAAGAUUGACUUUGACUCCAUCAAGCAGCGGAAGCUAUAUCGCCAGACAGACAAUGAACUCCGGCGGCGGCACGGCACUCGCAAAUAUCAGCUGCCAGUAUUGCAAGCUCGCGACUGAGCGAUUCGAAGAAGACAUUGAGCCGGGCCCCUCAUCUGACACAAACCUCUCUGGAUGUGUAGUGCUCGAAUGGAUGCCCUUCGCCGACCGUGGCUGCCAUGCAACUGGCCCAGAUGGUUACCCAGGACAUGAGCAACUACUCGUAUUUGCGACAUUUUCAGCAAUUUAGUGUCGACGUCAAGCGAUGCAGUGAGACGAAAAUCGAAAUCUCAUUCGUCGUCAUGGAGCCGAAGGAUGAGGAUCUUACAGCUCUCCAAUACACAAAUGAGCGAUGUGGUAUCGGUGUCGUACCCCAACAUUGAGCUCAACUAUGUGGUUGUCAGGCUGGAGAAUGAAUGCCCCGUCACUGCAUCCAUCGUCCCGCUGAAGAUCACGGAAGGCUAGCCAACGAGCUGACCAUACAUUGUAGUGCAGCAGCGACUCCAACUUGGGCUGCGAUCAGGACUACAAAUUAUCAAUAAUUCAA